rnacentral:rRNA from 1 species
CCUACGGGAGGCAGCAGUGAGGAAUAUUGGUCAAUGGGCUUACGCCUGAACCAGCCAAGUCGCGUGAGGGCAGACUGCCCUAUGGGUUGUAAACCUCUUUUGUCAGGGAGCAACGCCGGCUACGUGUAGCCGGACUGAGAGUACCUGAAGAAAAAGCAUCGGCUAACUACGUGCCAGCAGCCGCGGUAAUAAGGAGGAUGCGAGCGUUAUCCGGAUUGAUUGGGUUGAAAGGGAGCGUAGGCGGAAUGCCAAGUGAGCGGUAAAAACGCGGGGCUCAACCUCGCUCAGCCGUGGAAACUGGCGUUCUUGAGUGGGCGAGAAGUAUGCGGAAUGCGUGGUGUAGCGGUGAAAUGCAUAGAUAUCACGCAGAACUCCGAUUGCGAAGGCAGCAUACCGGCGCCCAACCGACGCUGAAGCACGAAAGCGUGGGUAUCGAACAGGAUUAGAUACCCCAGUAGUC